AUGGCCGCCUCGACCGCCGCCGUGCUGUCCCCGCCCACCGUGGCCGGGCUCCGCCUGGCGCCGUCCCCGCGCGCGGCCGUCUCGUUCCGGGGGGCCUCGUCGUCGGCGGCGAGGCGGUCCGUGGCGGCGCGGGCGGCGCUGGAGCCGUCGGUGGUGAUCAGCCUCAGCACGGGGCUGUCGCUGGUGAUGGGCCGCUUCGUCUUCUUCAACUUCCAGCGGGAGAACGUGGCGAAGCAGGUCCCCGAGCAGAACGGCAAGACCCACUUCGAGGCCGGCGACGAGCGCGCCAAGGAGUUCGCCGGCAUCCUCAAGUCCAACGACCCCGUCGGCUUCAACCUCGUCGACGUCCUCGCCUGGGGCUCCAUCGGCCACAUCGUCGCCUACUACAUCCUCGCCACCACCAGCAACGGAUACGACCCACCCUUCUUCGGCUGA
rnacentral:rRNA from 1 species